ACGGAAAGAGACAUCCGUAGCCAGAGUGCGGUGCCCAAGCAAGUGUAUAAGCAAUUGGCUGCUUUAGGCGGCACGCGUUAGUAUGUGUGCGUGAGAGAGAGAUAGAGAGAGAGAGAGAGCGUCGCUAAAUAACAAUCUAACGAGAGGCCACAGUGUUGCAUAGUGAGGAAUGUGAAUGUUCAUGUUUUUACCCGUGGCGGCAACACUCGGCGCAGUCUGUAUUUCGAAAAACAAUUUUGGUGUCGUCGUAUUAGGAAGCGUCAUUAGUUCUGUCCUUGUCUGGCAGCUAAGCAGCCACUAUCAACUCGAGACACAAACAAAUCAAAUACAUAUGAAACGACAUGAAACGACAACACAGAUGUGAAUAAGACAGACAGACUAUACACACUAUGGAGAUUAGCAAAGUGAAAGCGGGACAAACGGUGAUGGCCACACUCAACGAGCAGUGUUACCAUUCUGGCUAUUUUGUAGCAAAUCGAACUAUUCUUUAAAGCGAUAUGCUAUACAAAUUUUUAAAAUGCUAUUAGCUAUUUUAGCUAUUUUAUAAAAAAAAUGUUUAAUUAAAAAAUAAAUUAAAGAAUACAAAAAUGCAAAAGUGUAUAAGCAAAUGUUUCGUGAAGAAUGGACAAAGUCCUCUCAAUUUAAAGAUUGGAUUCGAAAUGUCGAGUCGGGCAACACGAGAGCAAUUUGCACUUAGGGCAAAUGCAGUAUUUUUGCAAAAUUGCAUGAUCAUGAGUGCGUUUGGCGCCUUUGCGUAAAACCCCAAAAUUGUUUUUGAGCCGAAGAACACAAGAAUAUUAAUACAGCGAAUGAGGAGGCGACAUUGUGAUUGUAUCACUGUUAAAAGACACAAUUCUGCUCUGCUAUAUCGGCUGAAGCUUGGCGGGCACUUCAGUAGAAAUCUUCCAAACGGUCCAAAACAGCCAAAAUUAAAAUAUAAGUACAUAUAUAAUGGAAUGAAUUGGAAGGCCUCUCGAAAGCAGCAAGAUAUGGCCAAAAUGACCAAUAUGCCAGCAGGAACGGUUGAUGAACAUAGUCACCAACUAGAGGUUAAUGACAUAGUUAACUGAGCUUUCGCCAUAAGUAAUGUUUAUACCAAUUUACCUACAAAUUCAAAUAUAGUACAAGUUGAAGCUGCUCACACCUGCUGUCAUGUCAGAAACACCCGGUGGAUUAAAAUAAAUUUGGUGUAUUAAUUACAAAAUCGAAAACUGAGCAUUAUAUGAGUAUUGAAGCAUAAGGAAACAUAUAAUCUGCCUAAAUCAGCUCCAAAAACAUGGGCCGAAGCUAACAAUACUUCGUAUCAUCGAAAGCCAUCAGAUUCGUAAUAUAAUGAAUGAAAUUGGUACAUAUAAUCUUGCAGAUUGAUGGGAAAUGCAUAAUACUUAGUAAAAACUCUUUAGUUUUACACAUUCAAUCCUUAGAUAGUAAGGUUAAAGCCAUUAGUAGAAGUGGUCAAGGGAUUGCAUGAUCGAUAACUGCCUAGAAAACGACAUAGAAUAUACAAAUUAGCAAAACCCCUAAUAUGUCCGAUUCGUGAAUCUAUAUAGGACUUGUGAUUAGCCGUUCAGCUCGUUUUAUUUACUCUACUAGACUUAAGACAAAUAACAGUGUCGAAAUUGCUUGAAUUUCAUACAAAGCUAAGCGCGCGCGCACCAUUUUCUGAAAUAAUGACGUCACGCUGUCAAAUCAGCUGUUCGUUUUACAUACAGCCUUAGUAGGGCUGCAAAACCAUCGAUAGAUGUUCCCCUCGAUAGAUUUAUCCAUCGAUGGAAUGAACCAUCGAUACUAUCGAUAGUUCCAUCGAAAAUUUGAAGUUCUUAGAAAUGAACAAAUUUUCAACAAUUUAAAUCAUACAUCCAACAUAAAAUGAUUCGUGCAAUUUUGUACACAUACUUGCACUUUAAAUAUCAGUUUUACGCUUAUUGAUGGCUUUAAAAAUUUAUCCAUACUUUCUUUCUACGAAGAACCACCAAAUAUAUUGGAAAUAUUGCUAUAAAAGCUAUUUACAAUAUAAUAAUAUUAUCAACUUAAUGUUUAUACAUAUGUAUAUUCCGGAAAAUACUUACAUGCGUUUCUUCGCGCCACCAAGUAGUAAAUUAUCGAUGGAUGAAAAAAACCAAAGAUAUAUCAUGAAAGCCCAAAUCUAUCGAUAGACCCCAUCGAUGGAUUUGCAGCCCUAUAACCUACUGUCACUCAAUCCUGGUGUUCAAUAUGUAGUGGCAUUAAAUUCAUUUGCACUAGUCAUUUUUAAAGCAACAUCUACUAUUUGUAAAUAAUAUUGCCUACGCUCAUCAAGAAAAAUGUAUCCAUUAAACGGAGAAGGACAUGUACGAGAUGGUUAAGAGCCGCUCUGAGUACUACCACCUGAUGGCCGAGAAGAUCUACAGGAUUCAGAAGGAGCUGGAAGAGAAGCAGCUCGAGCGCAAAGAGCAGCACCAGCAGCAGCUGCUCCAGAUGCAACAAGGUGGCCCCAAGCGCCGUCGUUAAUCCGACGUCCGUGCCCAACGAGCAGCAGCAGCGCAUGCCAUUCCUGCAAUAGCAGGACAAAUUUAUAUUAUUACUAUUAACAUAGGCUUAAAUAACAAUAACAACAUAGAAUUGAUUAGUUUUUGGACAUAUUCCACCGGUGUCUUCUCCCAUUCCUUUAAUAUACAGGCUUUCAAAUCA